rnacentral:rRNA from 1 species
CAACCUGCCCUGUACUGGGGAAUAAUCAUUGGAAACGAUGACUAAUACCGCAUGUGGUCUUCGGAAGGCAUCUUCUGAGGAAGAGAGGAUUUAUUCGGUACAGGAUGGGCCCGCAUCUGAUUAGCUAGUUGGUGAGAUAACAGCCCACCAAGGCGACGAUCAGUAGCCGACCUGAGAGGGUGAUCGGCCACAUUGGGACUGAGACACGGCUCAA